CCACAAACACACCACACAAAAUGAACACCCGCCAAGCGCCAAAUGCGGGUAGAUUUUCCAUUUGGCGAGUAAAUCUCAGAAGGCUAUCUGCCACACUGGCAGGUAAAUGUUUGUACCAAAAUAGUCAUGUAAUAAAAUUUCUGGCAUGAUGGCUCGGAGGAAAUGACUCAUGUUUGCCAGCCACAGACCGUCUCUAGUGCUCCUAGUUUCACGGCACUGUUUACCGUACGGGACAUCGCUCACUUGCCACGGGUCUGCUGCUAGCUACCGUUCAUUAAAUAGCUGUUAUGUGGCAACAUUUACCUGGAGUAAGCCAACCUUUGAAACGAAAACCCACCGAAGAAAAGGAGGACGAAUCACAAAAAAAGAAAGUUUUGUGAGAAAUGGAGGUUUGGAGAUAAAGGAGUUUCAAGAGGCUGGCUACAGUAUGAUAAUGAGGCUGUGAUGAUGAGUUAAUAUGUGUCGCCAGUAUGCUAAAGAUAAAAACAGAAAUAACUCAUUUGUCAUCAGAAAUAAAACGAUGAAGCUCGAGAACAUUUGUGACCAUGAACACAGGAAGUGUCACAUUGCCUGCGUGUCUGUGUCCCGGGUCAAUCGGAGCCUCUCGUCUUGACACCCUCUGUGACGGUGUCAGAGCAGACCAGCACGAAGAGGAAGAUCCUGUUUAGGACUGUACAUGCCAUUGGCAAGAAGGCGAGACAACUUUCUGACUUGGAGUGGAUGUGUGAUUGGAUGAAAAAAAAGGAAUCGCUGUGGGCUCAACAUAUAGAAAUGAGAAGCAGGCCAAAGAGUUUAUGCACCAUAUUGCAGAGGUGGAGAGAAACAACAUCAGAGAGAACCUGAAAAACCCCACAUUUCUCUCCAUCAUGUCAGACGGCUCCACAGACACUUCUGUGAAAGAUGAGGAGUUAGUUUAUGUCAGAUUCUGUCACAAGGGAAAGAUUGAGUUGAAGUUUGUUGGCAUCAAGUCGGUGGAAAAGGCAGACGGGGCACACAUAAGCAACGCCAUCAGUGCCAUCAUGGAGGGAGUGUGUGAUGAGUGGAGGAGCAAGUUGGUCGCGCUGGGAACAGAUGGAGCUGCUGUGAUGACCGGAGCCAAGAAUGGUGUGGUCAGUCGGCUGAAGGGGGACAGGGCCUACAUCAUCGGCAUCCACUGUAUGGCACACCGCCUUCAACUGACCUUUUCUGAUGCCAUCCGGUCCAACGUGAUGUUUCAGAAAGUAGAAGACCUCCUCAGCGGGCUCUACACCUUCUACCACACCAGUCCACUGAACAGGGUAAACCUGGUAAACAGCUUCCAGGCUCUUGGGCACACACCACUGGUGCCCACCUGAAUUGUCGGGACCCGAUGGGUAGGACACCUAUUGUGUGCACUGGACCACUUCCUGCGAGGUUACCAGGGGCUUGUCUAGCACCUGGAACAGAUUCAAUCUGCUGAUGGCCAAAAUGUCUGAGGUGUCCAGCAGACCAAGGCCAGGAAUACUACAGUACUGCGAGGGAGGCUGUUGUUAUCCGCUUCUGUGGCUUCCUGCAUGACACACUAACACACCUGAGCUGCCUGUCUGCAGAGGUCCACCAUCACCAUAGCAGAAGCCCACAGCUCAUUGUGCUCAACACAGGCAGUACUUAAGAAGUACCAAACCAGAUUUUGAUGACACUGAACUGGAAACCCUGGUGGACCACUUCAAGCCUGUCCUGGAGACCUCUGGUAUCCAUGUUGAAAGGAUCCCUGACCAGUGGACUGUCCUGAAGGUGCUGAUGUCCCAGGAGCCCCAGUCCCUGCAGAAUAUGUCCUAGUUCUGUGUCAACAGCAGCCAUCAGCAUUCCUGCCCUGAUUUGCUGGCAUUGGUUGACCUGCUCCUGUCCUUCCUUGCCCUGACAGCUGAAUGUGAAAGAGGUGUUAAUACCAUGAAACAGGUGAAAACCGAUUGGCGGUCCAACCUAAAGUCUGAUACACUGUCAGAUCUCCUUAUGGUCCAGCUGUCCUCUCCAGAGAUCAGGGAGUAUGAUCUGAUAAAAGCUGUGAUGCUGUGGCACCAGGACUCUGUCAGGAGCAGAAGGCCAGACUUCAUGGACUGUGCAAAGAGGGUGAUCGCAGUAGAGAGUGAGGAGUCUGAUGAGGAGGUUUAAGUUGAUUCAAAUUAUUAAGCAAUCUGAUAGGUUUACAAAACCUUCAAAUUUACUUUUAAUGUUUGAUCCUUAAGUCCAUUUUUAUAGCAAAUACUUCAGUACAAUUUUGAGUUCAAGACUUCUUCAGUUGUAUUCAGGCUGGGAAAUUAAAUCUAGCCACAGCCAAAAUGAACCAGCAUCUAUUUUACCUGUAUUUUUCAGGGUAUUUCUACUCAAAGUAAAGGUGUUGUAGACCUGUUUCCCCUUUGUAUCAGGAGAGCACCAGUUCUAUGUCCACUGCACUCCUCAUAAUUGUAUCUUACCAUUGUUGUUGUCCUGUUUUGACUUCUAUGUACUCUUAUUCAUUGGAUCUGAUAUGUUUUGUUUAUAUGUGUGUGUAUGUGUUUGUUUGUAUGUGUGUGUGUGUGUGUAUGUGUUUGUAUGCG